AUUGAACGCUGUCGGCAGGCCUAACACAUGCACGUCGCGCGAGCGGCGGACGGGUGAGUAAUGUCUGGGGAUCUGCCCGAUCGAGGGGGAUAACUACUGGAAACGGUGGCUAAUACCGCAUACCAUCGGAUGAGCCCAAGUGGGAUUAGGUAGUUGGUGAGGUAAAGGCUCACCAAGCCGACGCUCUCUAGCUGGUCUGAGAGGAUGACCAGCCACACUGGAAAUGAGACACGGUCCAGACUCCUACGGGAGGCAGCAGUGGGGAAGAGUGCACAAUGGGCGCAAGCCUGAUGCAGCCAUGCCGCGUGUAUGAAGAAGGCCUUCGGGUUGGAAAGUACUUUCAGCGAGGAGGCGUUACUCGCAGAAGAAGCACCGGCUAACUCCGUGCCAGCAGCCGCGGGAAUUC
rnacentral:rRNA from 1 species